rnacentral:rRNA from 1 species
UGGUGGGGUAAUGGCCUACCAAGACCAUGAUACGUAGCCGACCUGAGAGGGUGAUCGGCCACACUGGGACUGAGACACGGCCCAGACUCCUACGGGAGGCAGCAGUAGGGAAUCUUCCACAAUGGGUGCAAACCUGAUGGAGCAAUGCCGCGUGAAUGAAGAAGGUCUUCGGAUCGUAAAGUUCCGUUAUUAGAGAAGAACAAGUCAAGGAGUAACUGUCUUGACUUUGACGGUACCUAACCAGAAAGUCACGGCUAACUACGUGCCAGCAGCCGCGGUAAUACGUAGGUGACAAGCGUUGUCCGGAAUUAUUGGGCGUAAAGGGAGCGCAGGCGGUUGGAAUAGUCUGAUGUGAAAGCCCACGGCUUAACCGUGGAAGGUCAUUGGAAACUGUCCAACUUGAAUGCAGAAGAGGUAAGUGGAAUUCCAUGUGUAGCGGUGAAAUGCGUAGAUAUAUGGAGGAACACCAGUGGCGAAGGCGACUUACUGGUCUGUGAUUGACGCUGAGGCUCGAAAGCGUGGGUAGCGAACAGGAUUAGAUACCCUGGUAGUCCACGCCGUAAACGAUGAGUGCUAAGUGUUGGAGGGUUUCCGCCCUUCAGUGCUGGAGUUAA